rnacentral:tmRNA from 1 species
CCCCUUCCACAAACACGCGACCCCGCUUAUAUUCCAUUUGCUAGCGCUUGCGUUGGCUAUGGCGAUAAACGAACAUCGAAAUAAACCAUUCGGACCCGGGGGCGGUACCCGGCGCCUCCACCUGAGAUCAUAAAGUUGAAUCGUGAUUUCAGGCGGGGGCGAAAUAGGAUCGACGAGGGCGUAAAGGGUGAUUUUUUGCUCGGCAUGAUA